rnacentral:rRNA from 3 species
UACGUAGGGUGCAGGCGUUAAUCGGAAUUACUGGGCGUAAAGCGUGCGCAGGCGGCUCCUUAAGUCAGAUGUGAAAGCCCCGGGCUUAACCUGGGAACUGCGUUUGAAACUGGGGAGCUGGAGUGUAGAAGAGGGGGGUGGAAUUCCAGGUGUAGCAGUGAAAUGCGUAGAGAUCUGGAGGAACACCGAUGGCGAAGGCAGCCCCCUGGGCUAACACUGACGCUCAUGCACGAAAGCGUGGGGAGCAAACAGG